UACGUAGGAUGCAAGCGUUAAUCGGAAUUACUGGACGUAAAGCGUGCGCAGACGGUUCUAUAAGACAGAUGUGAAAUCCCCGGGCUCAACCUGGGAACUGCAUUUGUGACUGUAGAGCUGGAAUACGGUAGAGAGGGAUGGAAUUCCGCGUGUAGCAGUGAAAUGCGUAGAUAUGCGGAGGAACACCGAUGGCAAAGGCAAUCCCCUGGACCUGUACUGACGCUCAUGCACGAAAGCGUGGGAAGCAAGCAGG
rnacentral:rRNA from 1 species